rnacentral:lncRNA from 1 species
UGAUAACAAUACAUAGAGAUUUUAUUUAUUGUAUUCUAUUGGAUUGCCACCACAUGCUGCUGGCGUCACUAGUGGAUUGUGAGAGCUCACUAGGAUCAUUCUGGAUCGAUGAUCAUUGAUUGAUGAGAGUUAGAAAUAUUCUAACCCAUUGAAAGGUAUUUCGAUGAUACUAUGAUAGAGAUUAUGGUAUGUUUCACUACUAGAUAGAAC